rnacentral:lncRNA from 1 species
AUUAUUACGCAGUCCCGACUUACAACCCAGAAGCUGCUCUUUCGUACUACGUUGAACAGAAAUACUACACUGAUGCUCCAGUCUACUACACCACGACCUACGCUACACCUAGCUACAACACCGCAGCCGCCAAGUACUACAUGCCCGCAAGGCCUUAAGAGGAGAUAAAAGGCGAAAUAAUUAGUCGAGUGAUUAUUUCCGACUUGACGACAGCUGCCGUGCACUAUUUGUCCCCAACUGCAUUCUUCAUUGUAUGAAAUGUGUUUAGUAAACUGUGACGUCGUGCUGCUGUUGAUUGUUGUCCUGAAAUACUACACCACCGAGGCUUCAGAAUACUACACUGCAACUUAUGCUGCCCAGAGCUGCUUAACCAAAGAUUCUUAGUACUGCAUCGUGAUUCCAUUCGUUUUAAGCCAUAACCAUUUAGUAUUAAUUUGAUAUUGUUUGUUUUAGACCCAUCCACGGCAACGUCAACCUGCAGAAGGAAGAGGCCAGUUUGCAUUUCCUUCACUUUCGAAGGUCACGGAGAUCAUUACGUAAAACUGUCAAUGCGGUGGUGUAGAGGUUGGGUGAGAACGGGAAGUGUUUGCUUUGCUUUAUUAUCAAGCAAGUAUAAUAGCCGCAGAGCUUAAGAGAGGGGUUAGGGUGAGAAAAAGUCGUAUAAAUGGCAAGAGAAAAAACCACGGAACUCAGUCGAGUGAGCAUCUCCGACACGGCAACAACUGCAGCGCAAUAUGUGUCACCAACUACCUUCUUCAUCGCAUUGCCAGUUCGCAAUCUUGGUUAACUAUGGCGCUGUGUUGCUGUUUGGUGUUGAAUCGUUAAUGGUUGGGUCGAUCUCGGGUGUACAGAUGUCUCCUGGACAUGGUGGAUACCAAGUAAUAGCAGCGAAGGAAUAAUAAACCACACCGCCGCCUUACUACAAAACGAAGUUAACAUUCGCAACAUCUACUUACUACGCCGAGGCCCCCUAAGUGCUACACCGCUAAGACUCGAGAGUUACGCGACAAACGCGACCCGAGUUACAUCACCACAGCGCCUGAGUACUACACCACUGAGUAUACUGUCCCAGCCUACUACACCGAGGUCCCCAAGUACUACACGACUACGAAUGUUGCCCAAAUAUUACACUAAGGCUCCAGCUUAUUUCAAUACCAAAGCGGUCAAGUACUACACCGAACCGCACAAGUACUACUCUACCCUGUACACAACCACAACUGAGGCGACCAAGUACUACGUAGCCCAGACUUACAUCACAGUAGCUGCUCCUUCGUACUGCGUUGAACUGAAAUAAUUCACCGAGGCUUCAGUUUACAACAGCAUAACCCACGCUACACCUAGAUACUAUUACGAAGACUCCAACUACUGUACCCAAGAGGUCACACCACUUGCCUUGCCCCAGUUUCCUACACUGAGGAACACAAGUAUUACUCUGCUCCAAGCUACUACCAAACUGAGACUCCUGUUUAAUACACCAAGUCACCGAGUAUUACAGCCAAAUGUAAGGUGUCGUGCUGCUGUUGGUUGUUGUAUCCUUGGUGGUUGGGUCAAUCACUAGUGUACCGAUGUCUCUUGGUGGUGGAUACCGAACCACAACGCCGCCGUCUUACUGCACGACAAAAACGUAUGCAACAACCAGAGUACUACACCACCGAGGCACCGGAGUACUACACUGUUCCCAGCUUAUUACGCCACCAAAGCGGUCAAAUGCUACACCGAAGCGCCCAAGUACUACUCUGCCCCGAAUUACUACAUAGCGGCUGCUCCUUCGUACUAUCCGAAAUACUACACUGAGGUUCCAGUUUACUACACUGCAACCCACGCUGCCCUCAGCUACCAAACCGAGGCUCUGCUCCCAUACCGAUGCUCCCAAGUACUACAAUACCAAAGCACCCGAGUAUUAUAUCACUACUUAGGCAGUUCCGACCUAAUGCACCGAAGCUGCGAAGUAUUCCACUGCUCCGAGUUACUACAGGCACCCCUGGAUAUUACAUCACAACCUACGGUUCUUCAGUUCAGUACAGGGAGGCUCUUAAAUACUAGAGUCGAAAUUUCUGAUUUAUUUAUUAGUGUACAGAGUUGUCGGUCAUUAACUAACAGUUACUAGUCACUGGGAAGUGUUGUUGAUCUUAAAUGAGAAAAUAAAUGUUUUAAUGGUAACCAUCUUUUAA